GAUGAAGAACGCAGCAAAAUGCGAUAAGUAAUGUGAAUUGCAGAAUUCAGUGAAUCAUCGAAUCUUUGAACGCACAUUGCGCCCGCCAGUAUUCUGGCGGGCAUGCCUGUUCGAGCGUCAUUUCAACCCUCAAGCCCUCGGGUUUGGUGUUGGGGAUCGGCGAGCCUUUCUGGCAAGCCGGCCCCGAAAUCUAGUGGCGGUCUCGCUGCAGCCUCCAUUGCGUAGUAGUAAAACCCUCGCAACUGGAACGCGGCGCGGCCAAGCCGUUAAACCCCCAACUUCUGAAUGUUGACCUCGGAUCAGGUAGGAAUACCCGCUGAACUUAAGCAUAUCAAUAGCGGAGGA
rnacentral:misc_RNA from 1 species